AAUCUGUUCUAAAACGAAAUCUAAACAUAGAUUAAUGAUCCUCAUCACGAAAGGAUUCUAAGGAAAAGAAGCCGGGGCAUCUAGUGGACAAACCGGUGUGGACGCUCGUUUGAAGGGCUCGCUUUGAAAGGAAAAGAAGCCGGGGCAUCUAGUGGACAAACCGGUGUGGACGCUCGUUUGAAGGGCUCGCUUUGAAAGGUGAUUAGAAGUCAAGGAUGGCGAUCAAGCGACAAGAUGAAUGAACCGAACACUCCA